rnacentral:rRNA from 1 species
AAUAGAUACCCCGGUAGUCCUAGCUGUAAACGAUGAGCACUGGGUUGAGGGGACUUCCACAUCCUCUCGGCCGUAGCGAAAGCGUUAAGUGCUCCGCCUGGGGAGUAUGGCCGCAAGGCUGAAACUCAAAGGAAUUGACGGGGGGCUCACACAAGCGGUGGAGGAUGUGGCUUAAUUCGAGGCUACGCGAAGAACCUUAUCCUAGAUUUGACAUGGUUGAGAAUCUCCUUGAAAGAGGAGAGUGCCCUUCGGGGAGCUCUUUCACAGGUGCUGCAUGGCUGUCGUCAGCUCGUGUCGUGAGAUGUUGGGUUAAGUCCCUUAACGAGCGAAACCCUUAUCUUUAGUUGCCAGCGGGUCAAGCCGGGGACUCUAAAGAGACUGCCGGUGUCAAACCGGAGGAAGGUGGGGAUGACGUCAAGUCCUCAUGGCCUUUAUGUCUAGGGCUGCACACGUCCUACAAUGGCACGGUACAAAGGGAAGCCAAGCCGCGAGGCCGCGCUAAUCCCAAAAAGCGUGCCCCAGUUCGGAUUGCAGG